GCAUUGGCAGCUCAGUGGUAGAAUUCUCGCCUUCAACACAGGAACCCGGGUUCGAUUCCUGGCCAAUGCC
rnacentral:tRNA from 1 species